AAGAGCCUAAUGCACACCCUCACACAGAUGGGGGAUUUUACACUUUGUUCAUGGAUACACUCUUCGGUUAUUUACACUCAUAAUAGGAUCUGGCAUACAUUGGUGCUUAUCAAAUGCCUGGAGAAGGAAUGAUGGAUUUGAUAGUUUCCAGGUCCCAGGAGAGAAACCAGGAGAGGGGAAGAUGUGUCUGCAUAAAGUUUCAUUGUUCUAGAGAACUCUGACAGGAAGGCCAUACGGGAGGAAGAUGUGCUGGAGUUCUGCAGUCCCAUGCCUAAAGCUCACAUCAG
rnacentral:lncRNA from 1 species